rnacentral:rRNA from 1 species
AUUCUUAGUGGCGGACGGGUGAGUAACGCGUGGAUAACCUGGCCCAUACAGGGGGAUAGCAGUUGGAAACGACUGAUAAUACCGCAUAAGCGCACGGUACCGCAUGGUACAGUGUGAAAAACUCCGGUGGUAUGGGAUGGAUCCGCGUCUGAUUAGGCAGUUGGCGGGGUAACGGCCCACCAAACCGACGAUCAGUAGCCGGCCUGAGAGGGUGAACGGCCACAUUGGGACUGAGACACGGCCCAAACUCC